rfam:Felis catus isolate Cinnamon breed Abyssinian chromosome B1, whole genome shotgun sequence.
GCCUGGGUGGCUCAGUCGUUUAAGCGUCCGACUUCGGCUCAGGUCAUGAUCUCACGGUCUGUGGGUUCAAGUCCCACUUCGGGCU